rnacentral:ribozyme from 11 species
AAAAAAGAACAAACCGCACAGACGAGAGAGUCACUUCUAUCUCUCUCUUCCUCUCUCUUUUUUCCCUUUCUACUGAUCUCUGUCUUCACCAAGAAAGAAGGCAAACUUGAAAGAAAGGACACACAAACGUAACCCGGAAACUGAUGGCAGAAAAAGCAAUGAAUUCUUUUUCCGUCAUGACACGUUUUCCUUUUUCUCCUUCAUUGAACUGAAAAAAU